AGAUUCCAGUUGCUCAUCCAGUUGCUUCUGGGCUCGUUAAGGGACUGCAAAACACGCAGGUGAUUUUGGGGAACAUCUUAAUAUUGUGUACAUGGUGCAGAACAUAGUAUAAUGUACAGAAAGCCCUCAGAGGGAAAUAUAAACUUCCCUUGGCAGACUCCAGUUCUUCAAGAAAACAAUGUGUAGAACUGGUGAGCUUCCUGGUAACUAUUUUCUGCAGCUCUGGGCAUGUUUGCUUCCUAAGACUCUGCAGGUGAGAGCAGAGGAGGCUAUGAGAUCUAAAGCUCAUGGUGGCUCAAGGUGUUCAACUGGAUCCAUAACGAGAAGAACACAUCAGUUACAGUAAGCUAACAGACAUGAAAAAAUGCAGUUUUGCCACAUCAAUACAGACCCAGUCAAUUGUUCUAGUUUGGGAGGCUUGCCCUAAGUUUGUAGCCAGAUCUCUUUCAAAGUCCUUUCCAAACAAACUACUCAUAAUACUGUGUAAAGGUUGUUCAAACAAUAUAUAACAGUCCUCAGAGUCUGCAUAACAAUUAACUUUGCAUAGAAAAAUAAGAUCUGUGCAAGAUAAAUCUGAGCUAUUCAUUGUAUAAAUGUUACAAAUUGUCUAAGUGACUACAUAUCCUCUGAUUAGCAAAAAUCACGCUUGUUUUGUCAAAAUAUUUGCUUCCAUAUAUGGGGCAUAAAGACGCACCCUGGGCAAAGCAUGAAAGCCAUAGAGAACUUUGCUACUGAAGCCUGCAACGCCACAUUUCGCUCUAUAUAAGGCAGGGACCUCUCAGCUAUUGACACUGCCAGGCUGCCUCGUCCUGGGACUGGAGUGGCAGCUGCAAUCUGUCUCCCAGAUGUCGACGUCUGAACGCUGCAUUAUAUAAAUGUCAUGUGCCCCGUCCUUGGUGUUUUUCAGAGAAAUGCAGAAGCCUGAUUGCAUUUGUUAACUUGUAGACAACACGUACACUAGUACUUCUCAAUAGGGAGUUUAUC